CCUACGGGUGGCAGCAGUAGGGAAUAUUGGGCAAUGGGCGCAAGCCUGACCCAGCAACGCCGCGUGAAGGAUGAAGGCUUUCGGAUUGUAAACUUCUUUUCUCAGGGACGAAGAAAGUGACGGUAACUGAGGAAUAAGCCACGGCUAACUACGUGCCAGCAGCCGCGGUAAUACGUAGGGGGCAAGCGUUAUCCGGAUUUAUUGGGUGUAAAGGGCGUGUAGGCGGGAGCGCAAGUCAGAUGUGAAAACUCAGGGCUCAACCCUGAGCCUGCAUUUGAAACUGUGUUUCUUGAGUGCUGGAGAGGCAAUCGGAAUUCCGGGUGUAGCGGUGAAAUGCGUAGAGAUACGGAGGAACACCAGUGGCGAAGGCGGAUUGCUAGACAGUAACUGACGCUGAGGCGCGAAAGCGUGGGGAGCAAACAGGAUUAGAUACCCGGGUAGUC
rnacentral:rRNA from 1 species